rnacentral:rRNA from 1 species
UACGUAGGGUGCAAGCGUUGUCCGGAAUUAUUGGGCGUAAAGAGCUCGUAGGCGGUCUGUCGCGUCUGCUGUGAAAACUCGGGGCUUAACCCCGGGCCUGCAGUGGGUACGGGCAGACUAGAGUGCGGUAGGGGAGACUGGAAUUCCUGGUGUAGCGGUGAAAUGCGCAGAUAUCCGGAGGAACACCGGUGGCGAAGGCGGCUUCCUGGACCGACACUGACGCUGAGGCGCGAAAGCUAGGGGAGCAAACGGG